ACUAACAAGGAUUCCCCUAGUAACGGCGAGUGAAGAGGGAAGAGCCCAAGAUUGAAAGCUGGCGUCUUCGGCGUCCGCAUUGUAAUCUCAAGAAGCGUUUUCCGCUUCGGACCAUGCCUAAGUCCCUUGGAAAAGGGCAUCAUAGAGGGUGAUAAUCCCGUACAUGGCAUGGAGCGCCCGAAGCUUUGUGAUACGUUUUCUAAGAGUCGAGUUGUUUGGGAAUGCAGCUCAAAAUGGGUGGUAAAUGCCAUCUAAGGCUAAAUAUUGGGGAGAGACCGAUAGCGAACAAGUACAGUGAUGGAAAGAUGAAAAGAACUUUGAAAAGAGAGUUAAACAGUACGUGAAAUUGCCAAAAGGGAAGGGUAGGAGGUCAGAGAUGCGUCUUGGAAUUCAGCCUUGCUUUUUGCUUGGUGUUUUUUCCAAGUUUGCAGGCCAACGUCGGUUUUGGGCACUGGAGAAGGGUGGAAGGAACGUGGCACCCCUCGGGGUGUGUUAUAGCCUUCUACUGGAUACAGCGACCGAGACCGAGGACAGCAGCGUACUCGCAAGAGCGGGCCCUCGGGCACCUUUACGCUUAGGGCGUUGGCAUAAUGGCCCUCUACCAC
rnacentral:rRNA from 1 species